UAUAAAAAUAAAUAUCAGUGUCAUCACAAAAAAUUCAACAAAAUUUUAUUACCUACACAAAAAAAGUUAAAGAAAAAUAUAAAUCAGUGCAAAAAUUUUUUCUUUUGGAAUAAUUUGGAUUUUUACCAACACACACUCACAAACAUAAAUAAAUAAAAUAAAAAAAAGAUUUUUUGUGCUAUCGACGAAGGAAAAAAGUGUCAAGAAUUUAUUAUUAAACAAAAAAAAAAUCGACAUCUGUUCAACUUUUUCUUGUGAUCGCCAUAAGAGUAAAAAAUCCAUCGCAAGUUGGAUCGAAAGAAAUAGAUAAUGACAACACCUGCAACGAAUACAGGAGGAGUAACGGGUGACAAGCAUGACGGAGGCACAGGACAGACAAAGUUAGAGCCAAUUUUGAAAAAUGGCCACGAGAUGGCGCCCCUCAAUUCGCGCGCUCGUUCAGAUGGCGGCGGGCAAACGGUGACAAUUGUCGUAUCGCCGCCGCAUCGCGGUAGCGUAAAUUCACUCGGUGGUGCGAACGAUGAUCCCGAUCGGGCAGCAUGGAGCGGAAAAAUGCAAUUUUUCCUCAGCAUCAUCGGAUAUUCCGUCGGUUUGGGCAACAUUUGGAGAUUUCCGUAUUUGUGUCAACAGAAUGGCGGCGGUGCUUUUCUUCUGCCAUUCAUGAUAAUGUUGAUCCUCGAGGGAAUUCCGCUAUUUUUGAUAGAAUUAGGUAUAGGUCAACGAAUGCGUUUGGGCGCAUUAGGCGUAUGGAAUACAAUUCACCCCUGGUUGGGUGGCAUCGGUAUCUCAUCAUGUAUCGUAACACUCUUUGUCGCUAUUUAUUACAAUGUGAUCAUUACUUGGUGUAUCUUCUAUUUUAUAAAUAGUUUUCGUACGACAUUACCAUGGUCUUCGUGCCCGUUAAAUGCCACAAGCGUUAACGGAUCUUCGCCCAUUGAGGAAUGCGCGCAAUCCUCAGAAACGGCAUACUUUUGGUACCGUCAAACGCUCGACGCCUCCGCGAACAUCGAAGAAACGGGCGGCUUCAAAUGGUGGAUCGUGCUGUGUUUGCUCGUUGCUUGGGUCGUCGUCUUCUUCAUCGUCAUGAAGGGCAUUCAGAGUUCCGGCAACGUCGUUUACUUCACGUCGCUCUUCCCGUACAUCGUCUUGACGAUUUUCUUCAUUCGCGGAAUCACGCUGAAGGGCGCUGGCGCCGGCUUAAUUCACAUGUACACGCCGAAAAUGGAGAAGCUGCUCGAACCGCAAGUUUGGCUCGAUGCAGCAACGCAAGUUUUUUACUCCUUUGGCUUGGCAUUCGGAUCGCUAAUUGCAUUCGGAAGUUAUAAUACGCCGAAGAACAAUUGUGUGCGCGAUGUCAUUCUCGUUUCGUGCUGCAACGCAUUUACGGCGAUUUACGCAAGUGCUGUGAUAUUUGCGAUUUUGGGAUUUAAGGCGACGGCAAAUGUCGAUCGUUGUAUCGAAUGGAAUCGGAAACAUUUGACGGAAUUGGGAUUUUUGAAGUCUGUUGAUGCCAUUGAGACGGAUUAUGAUCUCGCCAUGCGAUCGCUGAAUCAAACAAUCAUGGAUUCGUAUAAAAUUGAAAAUUGCAGUUUGUCGAAACAACUUGAUGCGGCUGCUGAAGGAACUGGCUUAGCUUUCAUUGUCUUCACUCAAGCCAUUGUUGAAUUGCCCGCUGCUCCAAUUUGGUCAAUUCUCUUCUUCACGAUGCUCCUUUCACUCGGUCUUGGUUCUCAAAUCGGCAUUCUCGAGGGAAUGCUUUGCACAAUUUUCGACAUCGAUAUUUUCAAGAGGAUCAGCAAGCCAUAUGUUACGGGUGUUGUCUGUAUGUUCUGCUUCUUAAUUGGUUUGCUGUUCACAACGGGCGCCGGCGAAUAUUGGCUCAAAAUGUUCGAUUCGUUUGCGGGAACAAUUGGACUUGUCGUUGUUGCGCUUUUGGAGAUGAUCGCCGUCAUUUAUGUGUACGGACAUGAGAAAUUCACCGAAGACAUUUAUCAAAUGACGGGCAUCAGGCCAGGAUUGUAUUGGCAACUGACAUGGCGUUACAUUGGACCGACAAUAAUGGUUUUGAUUCUCGGCUCGUCAGUUAUCUCGAUGGUUAUGAAAAAUCCCACGUAUGGCGCAUGGAAUGCUUCACUCGGCAAAGUCGUUGACACAGCGUAUCCAGAUUGGGUUAUGUACAUCGCCUACUCGAUGAUCCUUGCGGGAGUUUUACCCAUGCCGAUCGUCUAUCUGCUGCGAAGAUUCCAAAUUUUGAAGGUCGACUUGGAUAUCCAUCAAGGAUCGAUUCGCCGAAAUGAGACAACUGCAUCAACGAAGGAAAUGAUUGAUGAAGAUGACAUGAUGAGUCCUGAUAUGCCUCCGCCAAAUCAACUUGCUCCAAAUACACGCUUUACCAUUGGAGACUUUGAUAAUCCUUAAAAAAUUGCAUCAAACAACGUGGUUUGUUCCCAUUACUAAAUGUGAAUUAAUUUGAUCAUAUCAUCAAUUUUUAUUUGUUAAAUUCAAUUAAAAACUAACAAUUUUUCCACACGAUACCAAAGUUAUAGACAAGAAAUGCCGUUUAGCUCUCAACGUUUCACCAAUAAAAAAAAUGAUUUAAAAAAAUGUUGCUGCUUGUUGUUAAAAAUUAGCGCGUUAACUUCUAUCUAACUAGACAAGAGUGUUACCAAAAAAAAAAACUAACUGUGUGCUCAGUAAAUUUAGAAAUAUAUUUAAUAAGCAAAAAAAUAUAUGACAAUAUCGUAAAAAGUAACUAAAUGGAUUUCGAUGACGAUGACUUUAGCGGACCCGCAUUGGGAGGUCACGUAAAAACGCACGAUUCAGACGAUGAUGAUGACUACGAUGACUCUGACGCUCCAACAAUGGGCAAAAUAAUCACAAAUGGCUUCAGC